rnacentral:rRNA from 1 species
AACGAACGCUGGCGGCAGGCCUAACACAUGCAAGUCGAACGCCGUAGCAAUACGGAGUGGCAGACGGGUGAGUAACGCGUGGGAACAUACCCUCCGGUUCGGAAUAACUCAGGGAAACUUGAGCUAAUACCGGAUACGUCCAAGGUUUUAAUCGGCCUUGGAGAAAGAUUUAUCGCUGGAGGAUUGGCCCGCGUCUGAUUAGCUUGUUGGUGAGGUAAUGGCUCACCAAGGCGACGAUCAGUAGCUGGUCUGAGAGGAUGAUCAGCCACAUUGGGGACUGAGACACGGCCCAAACUCCUACGGGAGGCAGCAGUGGGGAAUAUUGGACAAUGGGCGAAAGCCUGAUCCAGCCAUGCCGCGUGAGUGAUGAAGGCCUUUAGGGUUGUAAAGCUCUUUUACCCGGGAAGAUAAUGGACGGUACCGGGAGAAUAACGCCCC